GUAAGUUAACUAGCUGGAGGCAUGCACUUCCCACUUUGCCCACACCUGCUUCCGAUGCAUUCUCCUGGUGCCCAGCCCCUGACUGCAGCACAGCCCUUUGAUCGAUCUUUGCCUAGUGAGGGGCAACACUACAUGUUCUCCCAAGGUCUAGGGACUCCUAUGACAUUUCUUCUGUCUGCUAUUUCCUGGGAUCACUCUCCAACCUCGCACCCGGGGCCGUGUCCCUGGCUGGUGAGCCUGCUGACAUGCCCAGAGGGAGGGGCACACACAUAUCAUAAUGGGCAUUGAGCCAGGGGAUGAUGUGCAGCCUGGCUUGGGACAUAAAUAAUGGGCAUUCCAGCCAACUCCAUCCAGACCUCCGUGAUUCACAAAUCCUAUCCUGGAGAGAUGAUUUCCCUGUGAGUGGGACGGUUCUGAUAUCAUCUAGAAUUGCCAGAACAAUCGAUCCCCAGGAGCUUCACUUGGUGAAUGUUGGGAACUCAAGACAAUGCCAAUCAACAUUUAGCUUGGAGGAGCAAACAGCAAGACCAGGGACACAAGGUAGAGAAGAGUGAGUGGAAAUCAUGUCAUCUGAUCUCUACACGGAACUCCACACAGGAGAUGGGGCAGGAGUGUGAGGAACAGAACCUCUGGUCCACCUCCUUGAGGAAUGGGAUAGUGCCCUGCACAGCUAAAAGAGGCCAGUGCGGACUCGAGCUAUCUGCACCCUUGGCAACCCAGGAGGAAGAGCUCACCAUGGUGCAGGCUAUCAGGGUACCCAAUAUGCUGGAGCAGCCACCUGCCUCAGGGGAGCACCCAGCUUCGGCCCUUGAGAAACACCCUGAAUCACAUCAAGAAGCCGCCCCAGCUACUAUUGUGGGGCCUACUGAAGCUUCAGGUCCUGAGUUGAUCAAGCUAGUCAAGGCUGCUGCAGCUGGGUGCUUGGCCCGAUCCAAGAUGCUAGCUGCUGAGUCCAAACCAAUGCAUGAGGCAGUCACACCUCUGAUUCAGCAUCCCGACAAGGAGGACCUACCUGUAACCUUGGCCACCCUGGAGGUAGAUCAAGUCCUGGCGCAUGCAAUCCGUUUCCCCCACAUGCUGCAGCAGCCACCUAUCUCAGGGGAGCAACUAGCUUCCGCUCCUGAACAAGAUCCCAAACCACCUCAAGAGCCCGCCCCAGCUCCUACUAUGGGGCCUGCUGAAGCUUCAGGGCCAGAGGUGAUUGAGCCAGUCAAGGCUGCUGGAGUUGAGUGCUUGCCAGGGGCUGAGAUGGCACCUGUUGAGUUGAAGCCACUGCAGGUGUUGGUCACACCUCUGAUUCACUGUCCACAACUGGAGGUGCUGCCUGCACCCCUGGCCCCUCCAAAACGUAGGCAGGCCUCAGUGCCCACCCUCGAGUUCAUCGAAGGGCCGGUGCAUCCACCUGCCUUACUGGAGCAGCCAGCCUCUGCCACCGAGCAGCAGCUCAUCAUGGCUACAGCCCAACGGAAGGCUUCCCCGCCCCUCUCAUUGCACUGUGUCUAA
rnacentral:lncRNA from 12 species